rnacentral:rRNA from 1 species
UACGUAGGUGGCAAGCGUUGUCCGGAUUUAUUGGGUUUAAAGGGUGCGUAGGCGGCCCUGUAAGUCGGUGCUGAAAUACCCCGGCUUAACCGGGGGGGUGGCAUUGAUACUGCAGGGCUUGAGUACAGAUGAGGUAGGCGGAAUUGACGGUGUAGCGGUGAAAUGCAUAGAUAUCGUCAAGAACACCGAUAGCGAAGGCAGCUUACUGGGCUGUAACUGACGCUGAUGCACGAAAGUGUGGGGAUCAAACAGG